UGGGAGAUGUGUUUAUUUUAUAGUCGUGAAUCGUGAUCUUUUAUUUUAAUUAUCUACGUCAUCAUGACUCACAGUUUCUUAAAUGAUGAUAAGUGGUUCAUUAGAGAGGGAAUUGAGAAAAUAAAUAUGGGGAAAAUAGGGAAAUACUUGACUCUUCACGAUUGGGAGGAGUUUCUCCAAAGUGUUCAAAUUGGUGAUUGUAUUGAGAUUCCACGAAAAACCAUAAAUCAUUGGUGCAUAUUCGUCGGCCCACACUUUUAUUACAAAAAAUAUGGGAGAAAUGAUUCUAAGAAAUGGCAUGACAAGAGUAUACAACAGAUAGUGCAUAUAAAUGGAGAUUCUCCUCUUAGCUCGACGUCAUAUUCUCUGACCCCAAAUGGAAAAACCAACGUGGCAAAAUUGGAUUUUUUUGUAGAUGUUGUGAAAGAUUCAAAAUUUCGUAUAAAUAAUUAUUUUGAUUUAGUGAAAGAAUCUAGAUCUAUUGAGAAUAUUUUAAUUACCAUUAACAAUGAACUCAAUGAACCACUCAAUAGAUACCAUUUACUUUUGUUCAAUUGUGAACAUUUUGUGAAAUAUGUUCGAAAUGAUAACAAAAACUGUGAUCAGAUUGAUCAGCAUCGUCGAGGAGCAAAAUACAUUUUUUCCCUUUUGAAAAAAAAAACAGCAGCGAUCAACUCGGCUUCAAUUUUUGGUCUAUUCAAAAGAAAAAGAACCUAAUAAUAGAAUGCACUAUUUAAGAAUAUUCACUUAUUGGUUUAACUCUGAUUGGCUUUGUGUAUUUUGUAUUUCUAUUUUCAUAAUAAUAAGAAAUAAAUAUAUCAUAUCAAUGAAUACUUACCUUAAAGGAAGAGAAUGCGUGCAAGGAGAUACGGU
rnacentral:misc_RNA from 1 species